CUGUGAUGGAAGCAGCGGCGUCAAUAGUCCCAUUUGUUGGAGGAGAAGUGAAAAAUAAUAAAGGGACAAACAUUGUUUGACGGUCUACAUAGCUCGUUACAGAGAUGCACUCAGCGUUGGUCAACUAUAGAUGUCUACGGAUUUGGCCUAUCAAUUGAAAAUCGUUUUGAGUAGCCCAUAUAGACCACGAGGUGUGAAGAGGUCUCAUUUCAGAAAAUGUAAUGGGUUAUGUAUGUACAAAUUUCUCGGAAACUCCAAAGCCAACGCUGUUAUAGAUUUUCUCACGUCUACUUUUAACGCCGUCAAAUCCAUUAUACUUCUGUUGCUUACAAAUUAACUUUCAUUACUAGCUUUCCUUUUCUUUUGAAAACUAUUUUUUCGUAUAGGUACCUGCGCUGGCUGAACCUACUUACUUACUAAAAUUUACGUUAUAUGUUAUUUGAUUCAUUUAAUUUUAAUAUGUUGUAUUAUAUGUCUUAUGUUAUUAAUUUAAUUGGUGAGAUACAAUUGUAAUAUGCAUUUAAAUAUCACAAUAAAAUAAUAAAGUAAACUUAUAUUAUAUAAUAA